GCGUCCCUGAUUAUUAAAUCUUUGGUGAAUUAUAAUGUGUAUUAUUAGGUUUUGGACUCAAUUUCUAUCAUAAACGCGACCUCACGAUGAUAAGUGGAACUGUAAAUUAAGUUUUAUGAGAAUGUUGCAAUUGGUUGGUCUGGUCGCUGUUCACUGGUAGUUGAAGAUUAGUUAGGAUGGUUUUAUUUUUAUCCUUCUUUUAGAGGGCCUAUUUCAAAUGGCGAGGGUUAGUUAGUUAGAGGAUGAGGUUUAGUUAGUUAGUUGGUCAAGUUUAGUUAAAGGGAGAGUUGGUUAAAGGGAAAGGUUAGAUAGUUAAUGGUGAGGGUUGCUUGGUUAGAAAGUGAAGGUAAGUUGGUUCGAGGGUAGGUUAAUUAAAGGGUGAUGAUUAUUUAGUUAAUGGUGAGGGUUAGUUAGUUAGACGUUCUUGAUUGGAUAGUUAGAGGGGUGAGUUAGUUAAAGGUGAUUGAUUGGUGGGACUUAAUUUAAGAGAGAGGGUAAGUUAGUUAGAGGAUGAGUUAGUUAAGGUUAGAGUUACCCCCUAAUCUUCUAACCCUAACCUCCUAAUCCUAGCCCCUUCCUUCUAACCCUAACCCUAAUCUCUAACCCUAACCUUAACCCCCACCCCCUAACCCUAACCUUAACAACCACCUCCUAACCCUAACCCCUUCCCCUUAAUCUUAACCCCCUAACCCUAACCCUAAUCCUAACCCCCUAACCCCCUAACCAUAACCUUAACCCCUUAACCCCAACCCUGACCCCCUAAUCUUAACCCCCCUAACUCCUUAACCCUUUAAUCCUAACCCCUUAACCCUAGCCCCCUAACUCCUAACUCCUUAACCCUAACCUUAACUCCCUCCCCCUAACCCUAACCACAUCCCCCUAAUCCCCUGACCCUAACCCUCUAACCCUAAUUCCCUAACCCCUUGACCCUA
rnacentral:lncRNA from 1 species